GGGGUGUGGGAUGUUCUGCGAUGUUGGUUCUUGCUGACGCGGGGGGCGUGUGAGUGGUAGCGUGGAUGUUUGUGUUUGCCGGCUCAUUGCUUUGGCUUUGAACGGUUUGAUGCGCAUGAUCCUGAUCAUUUUUCAUUGUUGACUUUGUGUCUUCGAUGUUUGUUCGUUGUUCCUGUUCGUUUACCUCUAAAUUGGUACACUAGUGGCUUGUUGGACUUUGAACCAUCCCACACCAUUGCCUGGUGUUGCGGUGGCUUUUGAAUUUAUACGUAUGCUCCGCUUAGAUCUCCUAUGUGGUGUCUUUUGCGGUGCGCAUGUAUUCAUUGAUUUCUCGGACACGGUGCUUGAGAUGACCUUUGGUUUUUCCAUUUAUGUCCCUAAUUAAUUAAUGGUUGCCUUAAAUUAUGCCUGCUCUAUUGGUUGUUUUGCGCCCCUUUCGUGGGCUCAAAACUUCCACGAUGUGCAGAGUCAUUAAUGGAUG
rnacentral:misc_RNA from 1 species